GGCCAUGUGUGAAUAUGGAUUUCAGCCCUGCCACAUAGGCUCUCUGCUCACUGAGUGAAGAGACUAUUCUGCCCACAUUUCAAGACUUGAAACCAGAACUUAUUUGAAGUUUCCAAGUCUAUGUCAAAAAAAGGAUUCUGAACGCCUCAGAAUUUUGACUCUUUACAGCAUCUAGAAGGCACACAUGAAGUUGACUGAGGCCAGGAGAUGUGAAGCAUUUCAAUCAAAGCUAUCAUUCCACAAGAGUAAAAAUUUGUUCCAUUUAUUAGCAAUGAACAUGUGGCUUAUCACUUGACUCAUUAGCACACUUCUGUCAAUACAGCAAGCUUGUA